rnacentral:ribozyme from 15 species
UGCACAGGCUGCUUUGUUGGUAAUGUUAGAGCUUUUCAUGAACAAGGAGAAGAAUGGGGACGGCCUUGACGACUUUGGUAAAGCCUUGAAAGUGCUUUGGGAAAGGGAUGUGGUUGCACAAGAGAAGAUCGAAAGUUGGUUGGAAAAUG